rnacentral:rRNA from 2 species
UACGAAGGGGGCUAGCGUUGCUCGGAAUCACUGGGCGUAAAGCGCGCGCAGGCGGUCUUCCAAGUCAGUGGUGAAAGCCUGGAGCUCAACUCCAGAACUGCCAUUGAAACUGUUAGACUUGAGUACGAGAGAGGUGAGUGGAAUUCCCAGUGUAGAGGUGAAAUUCGUAGAUAUUGGGAAGAACACCAGUGGCGAAGGCGGCUCACUGGCUCGUAACUGACGCUCAGGCGCGACAGCGUGGGGAUCAAACAGG